rnacentral:rRNA from 1 species
ACCAUGGAGAGUUUGAUCCUGGCUCAGGAUGAACGCUGGCGGUAUGCUUAACACAUGCAAGUCGAACGCAGAUGUAAAUCUGAGUGGCGGACGGGUGAGUAACGCGUGAGAAUCUACCUCAAGGAGGGGAAUAACAAUUGGAAACGAUUGCUAAUGCCCCAUAUGCUGAGAAGUAAAAUAGAGUAAUCUGCCUAGAGAAGAGCUCGCGUCUGAUUAGUUUGUUGGUGGGGUAAUGGCUUACCAAGACUACGAUCAGUAGUUGGUCUUAGAGGAUGAUCAGCCACACUGGGACUGAGACACGGCCCAGACUCCUACGGGAGGCAGCAGUGGGGAAUUUUCCGCAAUGGGCGAAAGCCUGACGGAGCAAUACCGCGUGAGGGAAGAAGGCCCGUGGGUUGUAAACCUCUUUUCUUAAGAAAGAAUUUUGACGGUACUUAAGGAAUAAGCAUCGGCUAACUCCGUGCCAGCAGCCGCGGUAAUACGGAGGAUGCAAGCGUUAUCC